rnacentral:lncRNA from 1 species
AGCACGGUUGGAAUGGGGCUAAGAUUCCACUGGAGUGGCCCAGGUUCGAAACGCGUGGGUGUCGAUUAAAUGUGGAAACUGGAUGCCCUCUGCCUGGUUUGUCCGGUGAAGUCGUCAUCUGGUCUACCGGUACUUAGGUGGUGCUGGUAUGAUGUAUUCACAUAUGCAAGGGGCUGCCAUGGUGUGGCUUUCCUGCGAGUGGGGAGGAUAUGGGUAAAACUUGUCUAUCCGUAUCGAAUAUUCUCCAGCAGGAAGAGGGCUCAGUGGGAGUUGCUCGCUUGUUCGUAUCAUAGGGUUAGCCAGAUGAAAAACACCUAAUCUUGCUGUAAUUCCUUUAAUAACUUAUGUUUGCCGUAUGUACUAACAUUACAGGCGACAUCUAUGGACUUAUCAGACUCAUGCAAAUCGAUUGUCCGAGGAGGGUUUUCAAGAAUUUUUGAUUUGAUUUUCCAGUGAGAUAUAUAUGCUUUGAGUCGGAUGAGAAAUAUGAAUGUAAUUUGGAAGGG